rnacentral:rRNA from 1 species
CCGAGAUGAGUUCUCCCUGACCCUUUAAGGGUCCUGAAGGAACGUUGAAGACGACGACGUUGAUAGGCCGGGUGUGUAAGCGCAGCGAUGCGUUGAGCUAACCGGUACUAAUGAACCGUGAGGCUUAACCUUACAACGCCGAAGCUGUU